UUCUUUUUAGUUUAUAAAAACACCUACUUUGGAUGUAGAAAAUACUUUUAUUAAC
rnacentral:tRNA from 1 species